rnacentral:rRNA from 1 species
GACGAACGCUGGCGGCGUGCUUAACACAUGCAAGUCGAACGAUGAACCCGGAGCUUGCUCCGGUGGAUUAGUGGCGAACGGGUGAGUAACACGUGAGUAACCUGCCCUUGACUCUGGGAUAACUGCGGGAAACUGUAGCUAAUACCGGAUACGACCCUCGGCGGCAUCGCCAGGGGGUGGAAAGAAUUUCGGUCAAGGAUGGACUCGCGGCCUAUCAGCUAGUUGGUGAGGUAACGGCUCACCAAGGCGACGACGGGUAGCCGGCCUGAGAGGAUGACCGGCCACACUGGGACUGAGACACGGCCCAGACUCCUACGGGAGGCAGCAGUGGGGAAUAUUGCACAAUGGGCGCAAGCCUGAUGCAACAACGCCGCGUGAGGGAUGACGGCCUUCGGGUUGUAAACCUCUUUUAGUAGGGAAGAAGCGAGAGUGACGGUACCUGCAGAAAAAGCACCGGCUAACUACGUGCCAGCCGCCGCCGUAA